rnacentral:rRNA from 1 species
CAAUCAAACCGGGAGAUAGCUGGUUCUCCCCGAAAGCUAUUUAGGUAGCGCCUCGUGAAUUCAUCUCCGGGGGUAGAGCACUGUUUCGGCUAGGGGGCCAUCCCGGCUUACCAACCCGAUGCAAACUGCGAAUACCGGAGAAUGUUAUCACGGGAGACACACGGCGGGUGCUAACGUCCGUCGUGAAGAGGGAAACAACCCAGACCGCCAGCUAAGGUCCCAAAGUCAUGGUUAAGUGGGAAACGAUGUGGGAAGGCCCAGACAGCCAGGAUGUUGGCUUAGAAGCAGCCAUCAUUUAAAGAAAGCGUAAUAGCUCACUGGUCGAGUCGGCCUGCGCGGAAGAUGUAACGGGGCUAAACCAUGCACCGAAGCUGCGGCAGCGAACGUAUCACCCAAGACAACUUUACGGAGUUGACGAUUGACGGAGCGAAGCGACGUCAAAGCGUUCAUUAAAGUCGAGUUGGCUUAGGGAUACGUUCGUUGGGUAGGGGAGCGUUCUGUAAGCCUGUGAAGGUGUGUCGUGAGGCAUGCUGGAGGUAUCAGAAGUGCGAAUGCUGACAUAAGUAACGAUAAAGCGGGUGAAAAGCCCGCUCGCCGGAAGACCAAGGGUUCCUGUCCAACGUUAAUCGGGGCAGGGUGAGUCGACCCCUAAGGCGAGGCCGAAAGGCGUAGUCGAUGGGAAACGGGUUAAUAUUCCCGUACUUGGUGUUACUGCGAAGGGGGGACGGAGAAGGCUAUGUUGGCCGGGCGACGGUUGUCCCGGUUUAAGCGUGUAGGUGUGUGUUCCAGGUAAAUCCGGUUCACUUUAACACUGAGGCGUGAUGACGAGGCACUACGGUGCUGAAGCAACAAAUGCCCUGCUUCCAGGAAAAGCCUCUAAGCAUCAGGUAACAUCAAAUCGUACCCCA